CCUACGGGUGGCUGCAGCAAGGAAUUUUCCGCAAUGGGCGCAAGCCUGACGGAGCAACGCCGCGUGGGGGAGGACGCCCUUCGGGGUGUAAACCCCUUUUCUCGGGGACGACGGACGACGGUACCCGAGGAAGAAGGCCCGGCUAACUACGUGCCAGCAGCCGCGGUAAUACGUAGGGGCCGAGCGUUGUCCGGAGUUACUGGGCGUAAAGCGCGCGCAGGCGGCCGGCCAAGUCUGGCGUGAAAGCCCCCGGCUCAACCGGGGAGGGUCGCCGG
rnacentral:rRNA from 1 species